UGAAGGUCUUCUUGAGUAUUUCCUGUUUGGGGUGUCUUGUGGCGAUGAACUACCUCAGCUUUUGUUUAUGUGGGAAAGUUUGUAUUUCUCCACCAUAUCUGUAGGAUAUUUUUCCCUGGAUAGAGUAUUCUCAGCUGAAGGUUUUUGUCUUUCAGAAUUUUGAAUAUCUCAUUCUACCUUCUCGUAGCCUGUAAAGAUUCUGCUGAGAAAUCUCCUGAAAGUUUGAUAUGGUCUUUGGAGGAGAGUCUAAGGGAAGAGCUCACUCCGCCGUGAAGCUGAUGUCAUGCCUGGUCAUUCUAUUUUUAAGUUUUUGAGAAAUCUCUGUACUGUUUUCCACAGUGGCUGCACCAAUUUACAUUCCCACCAGCAGUGUAUGAGGGCUCCCUUUUCUCCACAUCCUCUCCAACACUUCUGUUUUCUUUGUAAAGAUUGGCACCUGAGCUAACAUCUGUUUGUCUAUCUUUUUUUCCUUCUUGUUCUCCCAAAACCCUCCCAGUAUAUAGUUGUAUAUUCUAGUUGUAUGUCCUUCUGGCUGUGCUGUGUGGGAUGCCACCUCAGCAUGGCUUGAUGAGUGGUGCCGUGUCCAGGCCCAGGAUCCAAACUGUCAAAACCCUGGGCUGCUGAAGUAGCGCACACGAACUUAACCACUCGGCCAUGGCACUGGCCCCUCUCCAACACUUCUUAUUUCUUGUCUUUUUAAUAAUAGCCAUUCUGAUGGGCAUGAGGUGAUAUCUCAUUGUGGUUUUGAUUUGUAUUUCUCUAAUAAUUAGUGAUGUUGAACAUCUUUUCAUGUGCCUGUUGGCCAUCUGUAUAUCUUUGGGAAAAUGUCUGUUCAAAUCCUCUGACCAUUUCUUGACUAAGUUUGUUCUUUUGUUGUUGAGUUCUUCGUAUAUUUUGGAUAGCAACCCCUUAUUGGAUAAAUGAUUUGCAGAUAUCUUCUUCCAGUUGCUAGGUUGUCUUUUCAUUUUAUUGAUGUUUCCUUUGCCAUACAGACGCUUUUUAGUUUGAUGUAGUCCCAUUAGCUUAUUUUUUCUUUUGUUUCCCUUUCCUGAGGAGACAUAUUCAAAAAGAUACUGCUAAGAAUGAUAGCAAAGAGCUUACUGCCUACGUUUUCUUCUUUGAAGUUUUAUGGUUUCAGGUCUUACAUUCAAGUGUUUCAUCCAUUUUGAGUUAAUUUUUGUGCAUGGUGUAAGAUAAUGGUCUGCUUUCAUUCUUUUGUGUGCGGCUGUCCGUUUUCCCAACAGUGUUUAUUGAAGAGACUUUCCCUUCUCCAUUGUAUGUUCUUAGCUCCUUUGUUGAAAAUUGGCUGUUCCUAAAUGUAUGGGUAUAUUUCUUGGCUAUCAAUUCUGUUCCAUUGAUCUGUGUCUGCUUUUCUGCCAGUAUCGUGCUGUUUUGAUUAAUACAGCUUUGUAGUAUACUUUCAAAUUAGGGAAUGUGAUGCCUCCAGCUUUGUUCUUUUUUCUCUGGAGUGCUGUGGCUCUUUGGGGACUUUUGUUGUUUCCAGUAAAUUUUAGAAUUCUUCUUUCUAUUUCUGUGAAAAAUGUCAUUGGGGUUUUGAUAGGGAUUACAUUGAAUCUGCAGAUUGCUUUAAGUAACAUGGACUUUUUCACUAUGUUGAUUCUUCUAAUCCAUGAGCACAGAAUAUCCUUCUAUUUCUUUAUGUCUUCUUUAAUUUCUUUCAACAAUGUCUUAUUGUCUUCAGUGUAUAGGUCUUUCACCUCAUUGGUUAAAUUUAUUCCUACCCACUUAAUUCUUUUUGUUGUGAUUUUAAAUAGGAUUGUAUUCUUGAUUUUUUAUUUCUGCUCGUUUGUUUUUAGUUUUUUGAUGGAUUCUUUAGCGUUUUCUAUAUGUAAAAUCUCAUCAUCCACAAGUAGUGACAGUUUUACUUCUUCCUAGUGACAGUUUUACUUCCUCCUUUCCAGUUUGAAAAUGUUUUAUUUUUUUUAUUUGAUUGCUCUGGCUAGGACUAAGAAGAGUGAGCGUGGGCAUCCUUGUCUUGUUCCUGCUCUUAGAGGGAUAGCUAUCAGUUUACACCAUUGAGUGUAAUGUUAGCUGUUGGUUUGUCAUAUAUGGCCUUUAUUAUGUUGAGGUACUUUCCUUCUAUAAUUAUUUUAUUGAGAGUUAUUAUCAUAAAUAUGUGGUGAAUCUUGUCAAAUGCUUUCUCUGCAUCUGUUGAGAUGAUCAUGUGAUUUUUAUUCUUCAUUUUGUUAAUGUAGUUUAUAACAUUGAUAAAGAAUACUGUUGUAAUCCUUUGUAUUUCUGUUAUAUUGCUUGUGAUUUCUUCUCUUUCUGAUUUUAUUUGAGGCUUCUCUCUUUUUGUCUUAUUCUACCUAAAGGUUUGUCAAUUUUGUUUAUAUUUUCAAAGAAGUAGCUCUUAGUUUCGCUGAUCUUUUCUAUUUUCUUUUUACUCUCCAUGUCAUUUAUUUCAGCUCUGAUUUCUAGUAGUUCCUUUGUUCUCCUGACUUUGGGCACUUCAUUUUUCUUCUUUUCUGAUUCUUUUGGAUGUAUUGUUAGAUUGUUUAUUUGAGAUUUUUCCUGUUUCUCAAGGUAGGCCUGUGUUGCUAGGAACUUCCCUCUUAGUACUGCUUUUGCUGUAUCCAAUAGAUUUUGGUACACUGUAUUUUCCUUUUCAUUUGUCUCCAGAUAUUUUUCCAUUUCUCCUUUAAUUUUGUUGUUGUUCCAAUAGUUAAUGAAUAGCACGUUGUUUAGGCUCCACCUAUUUGUGACUUUUCCAGCUUUCUCCUUGUGUUUGAUUUCUAGUUUCAUACCAUUGUGGUUGGAAAAGAUGCUUGAUAUCUUUUCAGUCUUCUUAAGUUUAUUGGGAGUUGUUUUGUUUCCCAACAAACAGUGGAUCUUUGAGAAUGUUUCAUGUGUACUUGAGAGAAAAUGUAUAUCCUGCUGCUUUUGGAUUGAAUAUUAUAUAUGUAUCUGUUCAAUUCAUCUGGUCUAGUGUUUCAUUGAAGAUCAACGUUUCUUUGUUGAUUUUUCUCUCUAGAAGACCUAUCCAUUGAUGUAAGUGGGGUAUUAAAGUUCCCUACUCUUAUGGUGUUGCUGUCAGUUUCUCCCUUUAGAUCUGUUAAUAGUUGUUUUAUAGACUUUGGUGCUUCUACGUUAGGUGCAUAUAUAUUAAUAAAUGUUAUGUCUUCUUGAUGGAUUAUCCCCUUUAUCAUUAUAUAAUGCCCAUCUUUGUCUCUUGUCUUUUUUGGCUUGCAGUCUAUUUCGUCUGAUAGAAUUAUGGCUACACUCACUUUCUUUUGGUUGUCAUUUGGUCGGAGUAUCAUCUUCCACCCCUUCACUCUGAGCCUAUGUUUUUCUUUAGAGCUGAGAUGGGUCUCCUGGAGGCAGCACAUUUUUGGGUCUUUUUCUUAACCUGUCCAGCCUCUCUGUCUUUUCAUUGGUGCAUUCAAUCCAUUUGCAUUUAGGAUGAUUAUGGAUAUAUAGGGACUUACUAUUGCCAUUUUAUCUUUUGUUUUAUGGUUGCUCUAUAUUUCCUUUGUUUCUUUUUCCUUGUGUUUCUCACUACAAUUUCAGCUUGACGGUUUUUGGUGAUGUGUUUUUCAGUUUCCUCUUUUUUUAUGUUUCGUGACUCUGCCUUAAUUUUUGUUUUGUGGUUACCAUGAGGUUUGUAUAAAAGGUCUCACAGAUGAGAUAGUUCUUUUUCUGCUGAUAGCAUUUUUGCUUCAUUUGACUAGGCAAGUUCUGUCCUUUUCUUCUUCCCUUGCUAUUUUUGUUGUCAAAAUUCUUUCUUUCUGUAUUGUGAAUUUGUUACCAAAUUGGAAUGGGUAAUGUUAUUUUUAAUGCUUUCUUUCCCUUUAACCUUUGCAUCAUAAUUGUUUACUAACAUGUUCUGAUACAGAGUUGCAGUUUUCUGAUUUUAUCUAUUUAUCAACUUGUUUAAAGCUUUGUAUCCUUUGCCUUUUCAUUUCAGACAGGAGAGCUCUUUUUGACAUUUCUUAUAAGGCAGGUCUAGUGGCGAUGGACUCCCUCAGUUUUUGUUUCUUCCUCACACUUUAUUUGUCAGCUGCAGCAAUGGACCCCCAGCUGUCGCAGCACCCAAGGACACAGAGCUGAUUAUUACAGUGUUGAUUAAUACAGUCCCUAACUAGCUCUCAAAUACUUGUACUUUUCUGCAUCCUUUCUGAAACCACCCUAGUCGAAGUAAG
ensembl:lncRNA